GGACUACAGGGGUAUCUAAUCCUGUUUGCUCCCCUAGCUUUCGUGCCUCAGCGUCAGUUUCUGUCCAGGUAGCCGCCUUCGCCACCGGUGUUCCUCCUGAUAUCUACGCAUUUCACCGCUACACCAGGAAUUCCGCUACCCCCUCCAGAACUCUAGCACGCCAGUUUCGGAUGCAGGCUCUGGGUUGAGCCCAGAGUUUUCACAUCCGACUUAGCGCACCGCCUACGCACCCUUUACGCCCAGUAAUUCCGAACAACGCUGGCCCCCUACGUCUUACCGCGGCGGCUGGCAC
rnacentral:rRNA from 1 species